rnacentral:lncRNA from 1 species
CUCUACAUAUUCCAAUCAUGCCAGGGACGUAGUGCAGGCCACACCUGGUCUUUCUCUUAUACAUAACAUAACAUACAUAACCAAUGGUGUCGGGGGCGUAGUGCAGGCCACAUCCGGUCUUUCUCUUACAUAGUGCCAGGGGCGUAGUGCAGGCCACACCUGGACUUCCAUAUCAUAUCAUCACGUCAUGACAUAUGAGGGC